rfam:Ricinus communis cultivar Hale ctg_1100012282049, whole genome shotgun sequence.
GGGUGCGAUCAUACCAGCACUAAUGCACCGGAUCCCACCAGAACUCCGAUGUUCAACGUGCUUGGGCGAGAGUAGUACUAAGAUGGGUGACCUCUUGGGAAGUCCUCGUGUUGCACCCC